rnacentral:rRNA from 1 species
GACGAACGCUGGCGGCGUGCCUAAUACAUGCAAGUUGAGCGAUGAAGCUUGGUGCUUGCACCAAUUUGAAGAGCAGCGAACGGGUGAGUAACGCGUGGGGAAUCUGCCUUUGAGCGGGGGACAACAUUUGGAAACGAAUGCUAAUACCGCAUAACAACUUUAAACAUAAGUUUUAAGUUUGAAAGAUGCAAUUGCAUCACUCAAAGAUGAUCCCGCGUUGUAUUAGCUAGUUGGUGAGGUAAAGGCUCACCAAGGCGAUGAUACAUAGCCGACCUGAGAGGGUGAUCGGCCACAUUGGGACUGAGACACGGCCCAAACUCCUACGGGAGGCAGCAGUAGGGAAUCUUCGGCAAUGGACGAAAGUCUGACCGAGCAACGCCGCGUGAGUGAAGAAGGUUUUCGGAUCGUAAAACUCUGUUGGUAGAGAAGAACGUUGGUGAGAGUGGAAAGCUCAUCAAGUGACGGUAACUACCCAGAAAGGGACGGCUAACUACAUG